GUCCAGCUGAUGAGUCCCGAAUAGCACGAAACGUGCGUUCUGGAU
rnacentral:hammerhead_ribozyme from 1 species